UGCAAGUCGAACGGGCUCUACGGAGCUAGUGGCGGACGGGUGGUAACGCGUGAGGAUCUGCUACAGGAGGGGGAUAACGACUGGAAACGGUCGCUAAUACCGCAUAUGCCUACGGGUGAAAGAUUAUCGCCUGGAGAUGAACUCGCGUCAGAUUAGCUAGUUGGUGGGGUAAGAGCCUACCAAGGCGACGAUCUGUAGCUGGUCUGAGAGGAUGAUCAGCCACACUGGGACUGAGACACGGCCCAGACUCCUACGGGAGGCAGCAGUGGGGAAUUUUCCGCAAUGGGCGCAAGCCUGACGGAGCAAGACCGCGUGCGGGAUGACGGCCUAAAUGGUUGUAAACCGCUUUUCUCUGGGAAGAUGAUGACGGUACCAGAGGAAUCAGCCUCGGCUAACUCCGUGCCAGCAGCCGCGGUAAUACGGAGGAGGCAAGCGUAAUCCGGAAUUAUUGGGCGUAAAGCGUCCGUAGGUGGUUAUUCAAGUCUGCUGUCAAAGCGUGGGGCUUAACUCCAUAGAGGCAGUGGAAACUGGAUGACUUGAGUGCGGUAGGGGUCGAGGGAAUACCCAGUGUAGCGGUGAAAUG
rnacentral:rRNA from 1 species